rnacentral:lncRNA from 10 species
UCAGACAGGAGGCUAGGAGGAGGGGGACUUUGGGGCUGAGGCUUUGCCAAAGGAGCAGGAGUUUGCCAAGUGUUGUAGGAAGCGGGAAGGGUGCGCCAGGUAGGGGGCACGGCGUGUGCCAAGGCCCGGAAACGUGAAACCGAGUGCUUUUCGGGGGCAACCGGGAAGUCAGUUGGUGGAGAAAAAUCAAAGAUGGGAGGAAAGGCGAGGCUGACAAGGACCCUAAACGGUGAUUCCCCAAGUCGGCCACUGGAGGGAUGACUUGGGGGACCAGAGAGGAAGAGCAGCCUGGCCUCUGGAGCGGCCUGGGAAGAGCUGGAGUUCGCAGGGUGGGAGCUGCCCUGUGGCUGGGAGCCCGUGCUGGCGUCCCUGCCAGGCGGUGAUCUCACAGGUGAGCGGUGCUUGGGGAGACGCGGAGCUGUGGGCGGGCAGGAGAAGGUCAGUGGAGGUCAUGGCUUUUGGCUUGAGGCCGGAGUCCUCUGGGGGU